rnacentral:misc_RNA from 1 species
GAUCCCCGUCUUUGUGCGGCCGACUACCGGCGCCGUGUCACGUCAUUUGUGUGGCUUAUGUUACUGUUGCCUUYAAGUGCUUGCGUGCUGGUACCCGACAUACGGGAAGUGGUGCAUCAUACACGGUUGCCUCGCGGUGGACGCCUUCGGGUGUKCUGCUGCGGCCAAAUGGCGCUUGCGGCGUUGCCUCGUGGUGCUGGCACGUUUUCRUGCCURGUGCUAUCAGGGCAGCCUCGCUCCYGCUGUUGGUUUUGGAUGUCGCUCACGAUAAAAGCUCAUGGCCCUUUUGGUUGCUUUGACCUGACCCUAAAUAUGCCUUCCUCGUUGAGAACAACCGUCAGCUGUUGCCUCAACUCGUAGGUGGAUAUUGGCCCGCUCAAUUGCGACAACCGGCCCAGCGGUUGCCUCUGCCUUUCCACGCAAGUGGACAGGCGAACGACUKCCGGCGCUGGAUGUSAAAGAGGACGUGCUACCUGGUUGAUCCUGCCAGUAGUCAU